UAGGGAAUCUUCCGCAAUGGGCGAAAGCCUGACGGAGCAACGCCGCGUGAGUGAUGAAGGUCUUCGGAUCGUAAAACUCUGUUAUUAGGGAAGAACAAAUGUGUAAGUAACUAUGCACGUCUUGACGGUACCUAAUCAGAAAGCCACGGCUAACUACGUGCCAGCAGCCGCGGUAAUACGUAGGUGGCAAGCGUUAUCCGGAAUUAUUGGGCGUAAAGCGCGCGUAGGCGGUUUUUUAAGUCUGAUGUGAAAGCCCACGGCUCAACCGUGGAGGGUCAUUGGAAACUGGAAAACUUGAGUGCAGAAGAGGAAAGUGGAAUUCCAUGUGUAGCGGUGAAAUGCGCAGAGAUAUGGAGGAACACCAGUGGCGAAGGCGACUUUCUGGUCUGUAACUGACGCUNAUGUGCGAAAGCGUGGGGAUCAAACAGGAUUAGAUACCCUGGUAGUCCACGCCGUAAACGAUGAGUGCUAAGUGUUAGGGGGGUUUCCGCCCCUUAGUGCUGCAGCUAACGCAUUAAGCACUCCGCCUGGGGGAGUACGACCGCAGGUUGAAACUCAAAUGAAUUGAC
rnacentral:rRNA from 1 species